rnacentral:tRNA from 1 species
GUCCCUAUCGUCUAGAGGCCUAGGACACUGGCCUUUCACGCCAGCGACACGGGUUCAAAUCGAGUUGGGGACG